CUCCAUUUCUCUUUUGUUUUUGGUACACAGUUCCUCUGACUUCCACAACACCUGCUCCGACAACUGAAACAAUCAGUCAGACAGAGCCACCCAUCAUGACCAACACUGCUGCUAAAGUGUUCACUGGAGUAGGAGCUUCGGUUCUAGUAGUAGCGGUUCUAGUAGUAGCAGUUCUAGCGGUCACAUUUUUCAGAAGGAGGUGUUGUGGCCCAUUGCCACACCAGCAGCAUGCAAGGCCCAUUGAGAUGGAGAAUUUCCUGCCAAAUCCAGAUCAAGUGUAAUAAAACAAUAACGAUGUUUACUUAGGACCAGACCAUAACUGAAGAAUAACACUGGCGUGUUAUCAAUCAAGUGCAAUUGUUAGGUUUUCAGCUCUCUAAGC
rnacentral:lncRNA from 1 species